AUUGAACGCUGGCGGCAGGCCUAACACAUGCAAGUCGAACGAGGGGCGGACGGGUGAGUUAUGUCUGGGAAACUUUCCGAUGGAGGGGGAUAACUACUGGAAACGGUAGCUAGUCCCGCAUAUCAUCGGUUGUGCCCAGAUGGGAUUAGGUGUGAGGCGGGGGAACGGCUCACCUAGGCGACGAUCCCUAGCUGGUCUGAGAGGAUGCCCAGCCACACUGGAGCGGAGGCACGGGCCAGACGGAUACGUGGGGCAGAAGGGGGGAAUAUUGGAAAAUGGGCAGAAGCCUGAUGCGUCAAAGCCGGGUGAAUGCAGAAGGCGUUCGGGUUGUAAAGUACUUUCGGAGAGGAGGCGGUACCCGCAGAAGAAGCACCGGCUAACUCCGUGCCAGCAGCCGCGGUAAUAC
rnacentral:rRNA from 1 species